GAUCAUGGCUCGAGGAUGAACGCUGGCGGCAGGCUUAAUACAUGCAAGUUGACGGUAACAUGUUGUAGCAAUACGAUGAUGACGAGUGGCGCACGGGUGCGUAACACGUGUGUAACCUACCUUAUACAGGAACAUAACGUUGAGAAAUCGGCGCUAACAUUCCAUAAUAUUAUUUGUAGGCAUCUAUGAAUAAUUAAAACUCCGGUGGUAUAAGAUGGGCACGCGUUCCAUUAGCUAGUUGGUAAGGUAACGGCUUACCAAGGCAACGAUGGAUAGGGGUUCUGAGAGGAUAAUCCCCCACACUGGAACUGAGACACGGUCCAGACUCCUACGGGAGGCAGCAGUAAGGAAUAUUGGGCAAUGGAGGCAACUCUGACCCAGCCAUGCCCGCGUGCAGGAAGACGGCCCUAUGGGUUGUAAACUGCUUUUAAUAGGGAUUAAAGUCGACUACGUGUAGUUGUUUGCAAGUACCUAUAGAAUAAGCAUCGGCUAACUCCGUGCCAGCCGCCGC
rnacentral:rRNA from 1 species